rnacentral:rRNA from 1 species
UACGAGAGGCCCAAACGUUAUUCGGAUUUACUGGGCUUAAAGAGUUCGUAGGCUGCGCAGAAAGUAGGGUGUGAAAGCCCUCGGCUCAACCGAGGAAUUGCGCUCUAAACUACUGUGCUUGAGGAACCUAGAGGUGAGCAGAACUGAUGGUGGAGCGGUGAAAUGCGUUGAUAUCAUCAGGAAUACCGGAGGCGAAGGCGGCUCACUGGGGGUUUUCUGACGCUGAGGAACGAAAGCCAGGGGAGCGAACGGG